GCUGGGUGUGGUGGCGCUUGCCUGUAGUCCCAGCUACUCGGGAGGCUGAAGCUGGAGAUCGCUUGAGUCCAGGAGUUCUGGGCUGUAGUGCGCUAUGCCAAUCGGGUGUCUACAUUAAGUUUGGCAUCAAUAUGGUGACCUCCUGGGAGCGGGGGACCACCAAGUUGCCUAAGGAGAGGGGUGAAUCAGCCCAGGUCAGAAACGGAGCAGGUCAAAACUCCCGUGCUGAGCAGUAGUGGGAUCAUGCCUGUGAAUAGCCACUGCACUCCAGCCUGGGCAACACAGCGAGACCCCGACUCUA
ensembl:misc_RNA Metazoa_SRP Metazoan signal recognition particle RNA